rnacentral:rRNA from 1 species
GAUAAACGCUGGCGGCGUGCCUAAUACAUGCAAGUCGAGCGAACGGACGAGAAGCUUGCUUCUCUGAUGUUAGCGGCGGACGGGUGAGUAACACGUGGAUAACCUACCUAUAAGACUGGGAUAACUUCGGGAAACCGGAGCUAAUACCGGAUAAUAUUUUGAACCGCAUGGUUCAAAAGUGAAAGACGGUCUUGCUGUCACUUAUAGAUGGAUCCGCGCUGCAUUAGCUAGUUGGUAAGGUAACGGCUUACCAAGGCAACGAUGCAUAGCCGACCUGAGAGGGUGAUCGGCCACACUGGAACUGAGACACGGUCCAGACUCCUACGGGAGGCAGCAGUAGGGAAUCUUCCGCAAUGGGCGAAAGCCUGACGGAGCAACGCCGCGUGAGUGAUGAAGGUCUUCGGAUCGUAAAACUCUGUUAUUAGGGAAGAACAUAUGUGUAAGUAACUGUGCACAUCUUGACGGUACCUAAUCAGAAAGCCACGGCUAACUACGUGCCAGCAGCCGCGGUAAUACGUAGGUGGCAAGCGUUAUCCGGAAUUAUUGGGCGUAAAGCGCGCGUAGGCGGUUUUUUAAGUCUGAUGUGAAAGCCCACGGCUCAACCGUGGAGGGUCAUUGGAAACUGGAAAACUUGAGUGCAGAAGAGGAAAGCGGAAUUCCAUGUGUAGCGGUGAAAUGCGCAGAGAUAUGGAGGAACACCAGUGGCGAAGGCGACUUUCUGGUCUGUAACUGACGCUGAUGUGCGAAAGCGUGGGGAUCAAACAGGAUUAGAUACCCUGGUAGUCCACGCCGUAAACGAUGAGUGCUAAGUGUUAGGGGGUUUCCGCCCCUUAGUGCUGCAGCUAACGCAUUAAGCACUCCGCCUGGGGAGUACGACCGCAAGGUUGAAACUCAAAGGAAUUGACGGGGACCCGCACAAGCGGUGGAGCAUGUGGUUUAAUUCGAAGCAACGCGAAGAACCUUACCAAAUCUUGACAUCCUUUGACAACUCUAGAGAUAGAGCCUUCCCCUUCGGGGGACAAAGUGACAGGUGGUGCAUGGUUGUCGUCAGCUCGUGUCGUGAGAUGUUGGGUUAAGUCCCGCAACGAGCGCAACCCUUAAGCUUAGUUGCCAUCAUUAAGUUGGGCACUCUAAGUUGACUGCCGGUGACAAACCGGAGGAAGGUGGGGAUGACGUCAAAUCAUCAUGCCCCUUAUGAUUUGGGCUACACACGUGCUACAAUGGACAAUACAAAGGGCAGCGAAACUGCGAGGUCAAGCAAAUCCCAUAAAGUUGUUCUCAGUUCGGAUUGUAGUCUGCAACUCGACUACAUGAAGCUGGAAUCGCUAGUAAUCGUAGAUCAGCAUGCUACGGUGAAUACGUUCCCGGGUCU